rnacentral:rRNA from 1 species
AUUGAACGCUGGCGGCAGGCCUAACACAUGCAAGUCGAGCGGUAGCACAGAGAGCUUGCUCUCGGGUGACGAGCGGCGGACGGGUGAGUAAUGUCUGGGAAACUGCCUGAUGGAGGGGGAUAACUACUGGAAACGGUAGCUAAUACCGCAUAACGUCGCAAGACCAAAGAGGGGGACCUUCGGGCCUCUUGCCAUCAGAUGUGCCCAGAUGGGAUUAGCUAGUAGGUGGGGUAACGGCUCACCUAGGCGACGAUCCCUAGCUGGUCUGAGAGGAUGACCAGCCACACUGGAACUGAGACACGGUCCUGACUGCUACGGGAGGCAGCAGUGGGGAAUAUUGCACAAUGGGCGCAAGCCUGAUGCAGCCAUGCCGCGUGUAUGAAGAAGGCCUUCGGGUUGUAAAGUACUUUCAGCGGGGAGGAAGGCGAUAAGGUUAAUAACCUUGUCGAUUGACGUUACCCGCAGAAGAAGCACCGGCUAACUCCGUGCCAGCCGCCGCGGUAA